rnacentral:rRNA from 1 species
GCUUACGGCCAUACCACCCUGAGCACGCCCGAUCUCGUCUGAUCUCGGAAGCUAAGCCAGGUCGGGCCUGGUUAGUACUUGGAUGGGAGAUCGCCUGGGAAUACCAGUUGCUGUAAGCU